GGUGAUGAUAACGGUGAAGGGUUUUACAAAUGGAUGGAAGGUUUGUGUUUGGAGAAGCGUGUUUUCUAUCGUCUGAUCUCUGGCCUCCACAGCAGCAUCAACAUCCACCUGUGCGCUGAAUACCUGCUGGACGGUAAACACACAGAUGCAAACUCCUCAGAUUUCAAUGACACCUCACUCUUUUGAGAUCAAAACAGGCCACCUGUGAGGUUUGCUUAGAUCCAAUGAGAAAGUGUUUUACAAGGGUACUUGUGAUCUUACAAGGGUUUUGCAUAGUGUUUUCUUUAC